UCCUACGGGGGGCAGCAGUGGGGAAUAUUGCACAAGGGGGGAAACCCUGAUGCAGCAACGCCGCGUGAAGGAAGACGGUUUUCGGAUUGUAAACUUCUGUUCUUAGUGAAGAAUAGUGACGGUACCUGACUAAGAAGCCCCGGCUAACUACGUGCCAGCAGCCGCGGUAAUACGUAGGGGGCAAGCGUUAUCCGGAUUUACUGGGUGUAAAGGGAGCGUAGACGGCAGCACAAGUCUGGAGUGAAAUCCCGGGGCUUAACCCCGGAACUGCUUUGGAAACUGUGCGGCUGGAGUGCAGGAGGGGG
rnacentral:rRNA from 1 species